rnacentral:rRNA from 1 species
AUGUAUACGCUGCCAUGCCCUAUCAGUAGGCACGGAGGUUCAGAUUUUGCAUACUGGCAUGUUACCAGGUUGGGGGAUUAUUCUGUUCGUUCGGCAUACAACAUGGCUCGGACGAAACGAUUCCUGGAAAGAAAUAGUAAUAGCGGUCGUGGCCAAUCCUCUAACAGAGCGGCGGAGGAGAAGGAGUGGAAAUCUAUAUGGUCUGUUAUUGCACCUAACAAGAUGAAGAUCGUCUUAUGGCGUUUUGCACAUAACUGUUUGCCUUCUGGGGAACAGCUCUGUAGACGCAAGGUUCCUGCUCCUGCUGCAUGUGCUUUCUGCGGCCGGCUGGAGACUAUCGAGCAUGCCUUGCUCUUCUACCAUUUUGCAAGAAAUGUGUGGGAUGAAGUGAAGAAUUUCUUUCAUGUCCAGCUGCGCCGUGGUGAAUUCAGGUCUCCAAAACAGUGGAUUUUUGAUUUCUUAUCUCGAUGCUCCGCUCGUGAGGCAACUGUGAUGACUGUAACCAUUUGGCACAUUUGGGAUGCUCGAAACUCGGCUCGAAACACUCCUGAAGGUCCUAUUCCAAGAAGCAAUGCAGGCAAAAUUCGUAGUUAUGUUCAGAUGAUUUUUGAACAUGCUUACAAACCUGUUCCUGUGAAUAGAUGUGAGACUAUUGCUUCCAGCUCAAAUUGGUCUCCAUCGCCUCCAGGUACAGUUAUGCUAUUUUCUGAUGCAGCUUUAUUUCAUAACUCCAACAAGUCUGGUGCUGGUGUAGUAGCUCUGAACCAUAUGGGUCAUUGUAUCAAGGCGUGUACUGAUGUGUUGCCUGGUGCACUCACCCCCGAGAUGGCUGAAGCUUUGGCUCUUCGCAUAGCAGUUGACAUGGCACGUCAAGAACACUUUUCUCAUGUGAUCUUUGCCACUGAUUGCCUUUCUUUGAUGCAAAGGCUGAAAUCCAAAGCCCAAGAUCGUUCUGUGGUUGGUUCCAUCGUGGCUGAUAUCAAGCUGGCAACUCUGGGCUUCUCCUCAUUCUCUUUUGUGCAUGUUCGUCGGCCAUGUAAUGUGUUGGCUCAUGUUUUAGCUAGGUCUUGUUAUAAUUCUACUGGUCUUUGUGUUUUCAACUAUGCUCCGGAGUGUAUCCGGGAGACUUUGUAUGACUUUGUUGUUUAG